rnacentral:rRNA from 1 species
CACUCCUGCGGGAGGCAGCAGUGGGGAAUUUUGGACAAUGGGCGAAAGCCUGAUCCAGCAAUGCCGCGUGAGUGAAGAAGGCCUUCGGGUUGUAAAGCUCUUUUGUCAGGGAAGAAACGGUGAGAGCUAAUAUCUUUUGCUAAUGACGGUACCUGAAGAAUAAGCACCGGCUAACUACGUGCCAGCAGCCGCGGUAAUACGUAGGGUGCAAGCGUUAAUCGGAAUUACUGGGCGUAAAGCGUGCGCAGGCGGUUUUGUAAGUCUGAUGUGAAAUCCCCGGGCUCAACCUGGGAAUUGCAUUGGAGACUGCAAGGCUAGAAUCUGGCAGAGGGGGGUAGAAGUCCACGUGUAGCAGUGAAAUGCGUAGAUAUGUGGAGGAACACCGAUGGCGAAGGCAGCCCCCUGGGUCAAGAUUGACGCUCAUGCACGAAAGCGUGGGGAGCAAACAGGAUUAGAUACCCCAGUAGUCCCAUGA